AACGAACGCUGGCGGCAUGCCUAACACAUGCAAGUCGAACGAAACCUUCGUGUCUAUUGGCGCACGGGUGCGUAACGCGUGGGAACCUGCCCUUAGGUUCCGUAUACCUCCCCGAAAGGGGUGCUCAUACCGGAUAAUCUCUUCGGACCAAAGAUUUAUCGCCUUUGGAUGGGCCCGCGUUAGAUUAGCUAGUUGGUAGGGGAAAAGCCUGCCAAGGGGACGAUCCAUAGCUGGUCUGAGAGGAGGAUAAGCCACACUGGGACUGAGACACGGACCAGACUGCUACGGGAGGCAGGAGUAGGGAAUAUUGGACGAGGGGCGAAAGUGUGACACAGCCAUGCCGGGUGAGUGAUGAAGGCGUUAGGGUUGUAAAGCUCUUUUACCCGGGAUGAUAGUGACAGUACCGGGAGAAUAAGCACCGGCUAACUCCGUG
rnacentral:rRNA from 1 species